AGCAAGCGCACGAAGGCGUACACGGCGGCCGAGGACAAGCUUCUUUGCGAGUGUUGGCGAGACAUUGGACAAGACCCCAAGACGGGCUCCGAGCAAAAGCAUUCAACCUUUUGGAUUCGUGUCCAUCGAGAGUUUGAUGAGCGCAAGAAGUUUCCGCCUUACCAAUUUGUGAGCACGUGUGGGUGGGUCUCCAUUUUCAAGCGGUGGAGGGUGAUCCAACAAGAGUGCAACAAGUUUUGCGUCACUCUUAAGAGCGUCAAGGCCCGCCCCGUGAGCGGCAUCGGCAUGCAAGACAUGGUAUGCUAG
rnacentral:rRNA from 1 species